rnacentral:rRNA from 1 species
UGGGGAAUAUUGCACAAUGGAGGGAACUCUGCUGCAGCGACGCCGCGUGAACGAAGAAGGCUUUCGAGUCGUAAAGUUCUUUUAUAUGGGAAGAUAAUGACGGUACCAUAAGAAAAAGCCCCGGCUAACUACGUGCCAGCAGCCGCGGUAAUACGUAGGGGGCUAGCGUUGUCCGGAAUCACUGGGCGUAAAGGGUUCGCAGGCGGAAAUGCAAGUCAGGUGUAAAAGGCAGUAGCUUAACUACUGUAAGCAUUUGAGACUGCAUAUCUUGAGAAGAGUAGAGGUAAGUGGAAUUUUUAGUGUAGCGGUGAAAUGCGUAGAUAUUAAAAAGAAUACCGGUGGCGAAGGCGACUUACUGGGCUCAUUCUGACGCUGAGGAACGAAAGCGUGGGUAGCAAACAGG